rnacentral:rRNA from 1 species
GACGAACGCUGGCGGCGUGCUUAACACGUGCAAGUCGAACGAAGAGCGAUGGAAGCUUGCUUCUAUCAAUCUUAGUGGCGCACGGGUGAGUAACGCGUAAUCAACCUGCCCUUCAGAGGGGGACAACAGUUGGAAACGACUGCUAAUACCGCAUACGAUCCAACCUCGGCAUCGAGGAUGGAUGAAAGGUGGCCUCUAUUUAUAAGCUAUCACUGAAGGAGGGGAUUGCGUCUGAUUAGCUAGUUGGAGGGGUAACGGCCCACCAAGGCAAUGAUCAGUAGCCGGUCUGAGAGGAUGAACGGCCACAUUGGGACUGAGACACGGCCCAGACUCCUACGGGAGGCAGCAGUGGGGAAUCUUCCGCAAUGGACGAAAGUCUGACGGAGCAACGCCGCGUGAGUGAUGACGGCCUUCGGGUUGUAAAGCUCUGUUAAUCGGGACGAAAGGUCUUCUUGCGAAUAGUUAGAAGAAUUGACGGUACCGGAAUAGAAAGCCACGGCUAACUACGUG